rnacentral:hammerhead_ribozyme from 1 species
AUACAGCUGACGAGUCCAAAGCGGGACGAAACGCGCAUCCUGGAU